GUGCUCACUUUAGUAGCACAUAUACUAAAAUGGGUUAGCAUGGCCUCUGUACAAGGAUGACAUGUAAUUCCUAAAGCAGUCCAUAUUUUUU
ensembl:snRNA U6 U6 spliceosomal RNA